rnacentral:rRNA from 1 species
UUGAAAGGGAAACGAUUGAAGUCAGUCGUACCGACGAGAAAUCAACUUAUCGUGUGCGAACUUGUGGGCGUGCGUGAGUUUCGGCCUCGCUGUUUGCAUGUUUGUGCGUUUUGGGUGUACUUUUUCGUAUGGUAGGCCAACGUCAGUUUCGAUUAUCAUAAAAUGACCGGCGGAAUGUAGCUUCGAUUUCGGUUGAAGUGUUAUAGCCUCUGGUAGAUGUGGUGAUUGAGACUGAGGAUUGCAACGAAUACCCUUUGGGCUAUCCGUCUGGCCUCUGAAAGUUGCUCAGGUGCCGAAAGCGUGCUUACGGUCAUCUAAGAUAACGUUCAACAGGUUAGAACGUGAUUACAUUCGUUAAGGAUGUUG